UAAUGUAUGGGGAUCUGCCCGAUAGAGGGGGAUAACUACUGGAAACGGUGGCUAAUACCGCAUAAUGUCUACGGACCAAAGCAGGGGCUCUUCGGACCUUGCACUAUCGGAUGAACCCACAUGGGAUUAGCUAGUAGUGGGGUAAAGGCUCACCUAGGCGACGAUCUCUAGCUGGUCUGAGAGGAUGAUCAGCCACACUGGGACUGAGACACGGCCCAG
rnacentral:rRNA from 1 species